AAUAUUGGACAAUGGGGGCAACCCUGAUCCAGCCAUGCCGCGUGAGUGAUGAAGGCCUUAGGGUUGUAAAGCUCUUUUAGCGGGGAAGAUAAUGACGGUACCCGCAGAAAAAGCCCCGGCUAACUUCGUGCCAGCAGCCGCGGUAAUACAGAGACUGCAAGCGUUAUUCGGAUUCACUGGGCGUAAAGGGUGCGCAGGCGGCCAAGUGUGUGAGGCGUGAAAGCCCGGAGCUUAACUCCGGAAUUGCACCUCAAACUACAUGGCUAGAGCAUUGGAGAGGGUAGCAGAAUUCAUGGUGUAGCAGUGAAAUGCGUAGAUAUCAUGAGGAAUACCAGAGGCGAAGGCGGCUACCUGGACAAUUGCUGACGCUCAGGCACGAAAGCGUGGGGAGCAAAA
rnacentral:rRNA from 1 species